rnacentral:lncRNA from 1 species
GAGGUUAUUCAGACUAAAAUUUUAUAUGCUAAGACAAAGGGAUUGCUUGGGUACAAUGCUUUUCAGCUUGGAAACGAUGAUGAUAACUGGGAGCUUUCUCGAGCUGGUAUGGAAAUUGUUCAUCUAUUACCUAAGUUCUGUUUGAUACUUUUUGUUGAGAAAAGUAAUCAUAAAAGCUUGAAAGCAGCUAAAUAAUACUCUCCAACUACUUUUUCUAACAGCAUAAAAAAUUUUAUUUUUCUGAAGAAAUAGUUGCAAUCUCUAUGCCAGACACUCGUAUAUAUAUAUUUAUAUGCACUGGAAUGAGGUAUUUAAAUCAUUUCUGUAAGUUGUUUUGUGUAUCUUUCUAAUACCUGGAAUAAAUUGGCAGCUUAUGAGGUUGGUGAAGUUCAUGAAAGGAAAAAGCAUUUAUGGAUUAGAGUUUCAAUCCCAAUUGCAAUGAUUACUCUGCUGAUCCUACUUGGGUUUCUAUCAUAUUAUAUAAAAAGCAGAAAACUUGAAUCAAAAGGUAAAGAUUUUCUUAUUUUUGCCUACUUAGACUCCAUUGUUUUGCUUUCUUUAGAAAUAGGUAAAUAUCUAUGAACAUGAUUCUUGACAGCAUUUGGAUUCUCUCUGUGUUUUAUGUUUCAGGGAAACUGAGUUUUGGUGAUACAGCAGUUGAUGAAUAUCAGUACCAAAAUGCUCCAAAUUUGCAAAUAUUCAAGUUUUCUGAAAUCAAAGCAGCUACAGGCAACUUUUCAUGCGAAAAUAGGCUUGGAGAGGCGCUUACAAUGGAUGGUUCAAUAGGCUACAAGUUGAUCUUAAUUAUGGCUAUGGAGCCAUUUCAAGCUACAAUGCUACAUAUGUAGUUAACUACUUUAGCAUCAAAUCAAUUUGGAUCAAUUUUGAUGAUGUUGAGGUUAUUCAGACUAAAAUUUUAUAUGCUAAGACAAAGGGAUUGCUUGGGUACAAUGCUUUUCAGCUUGGAAACGAUGAUGAUAACUGGGAGCUUUCUCGAGCUGGUAUGGAAAUUGUUCAUCUAUUACCUAAGUUCUGUUUGAUACUUUUUGUUGAGAAAAGUAAUCAUAAAAGCUUGAAAGCAGCUAAAUAAUACUCUCCAACUACUUUUUCUAACAGCAUAAAAAAUUUUAUUUUUCUGAAGAAAUAGUUGCAAU